rnacentral:lncRNA from 1 species
AUCAGUUACUGUCAUAUCAUAAUGAUAGUGACUCCUAAUACAAAAGGAGUUGGCUUCAGAAAGGAUUCUGCAAUGUACGAGGUUGAUUUGUUAAAAAGUGAUGCACAUGGUGAUGUAGUAUCGAAGAUUAGUGCAACACAGGUUCUGGAUGAGUUUGAUGAUAAUAGUUUAGAACACAACUGAGUAUUAAGGCAGUCUAUAUUACCACUUAUUAAUAACUGUUCAAUAAUCAUUUAUUCAAUUUCAA